CCUAACUGACUAAACAUUACGACAAAUAUCACGCACGCCAAUAUGUGUUGGGGGUAUGCCACAAAUUCACAUUAAAAACAAAAUAUAAUUUCAUUAUUUCACGAGAGGAAAUCAUGUAAAACAAAUAGUUUAAUAAAGUGCAUCAUUGCAAACAUUGUUUGGUACCAAAUUAUUGAAGAUUUGCUUAAUUCGAGGCCAUCAUUUCUUCACCAGCGAUAGUAGAAGGACCGGGAGCUGCAAACAUAAAAUCGAGUAUUUAAAGACUAAGUCAAUUGUUCAUAUGAAUUUUUACAAAAGAAGAGCAUAAUAUUACCAUUAUCGUGAAUGCAAGAGGUUGUAACCCUUUGCGUUUCCUCAUUUUUUUGAUAGCACCAAAUAAUCUUAAUAUCCUCAAUCCUGGAAAAAAGAUUUAAUUGAACGGUUCCUCAUCAUCUUGGAUUUCUAAUCUCCUGAUGACCAUGAAAUAAAACUGACUAAGUAAUACAAUUUAACAGCAUCAAUUCACUGAGUUUGCCUAAUAUGAAGGAACUAGGGAAAGAAUUGGAUGAUACAGUGUACAUAUUACCUGUGCGGCAGUGUGUGUGCACUGUAAUUUCAAUAUUUGGAGAAGAUCAGAAGGAGAGGCAGGUGGCAAGGACGCCGGAUCCGGCGGCCGGCGUGGCGGGGAAUCGCGAGUUGAUAACUGACGAAGGUGGCGGCGCAGGCGCGCAGCGCAGUCGAGCGAGGCGGGGGUUUCUCUGUUGCCGAUCGGAGAGGGAUUUUCUUUUUCUUGACGAAUGAGCGACAGAUCGAAUGGUCAACUUGCAGUCCGCGAUUGGUUUUCUGCUCCGAUCGAUGGACUGGAGUGGGGCUAAUGGGCUGAAGCCUUGUACGUGUACGUGAGGCCGAUGUGAAGCCUGGGGCUGGGCUUCUAUGUAUAACAAAUUCUCAAAUAUCGGCAACUAUGUGUUUAGGUGCUAGUUGGGCCACACCUGGGGCUACAGCCCCAGUUGCCCCAGGCCCAAUUUCGCCCCUGGGCUCCGGUGCGCCUAGGCCACGCCUGUGGUGUCGGAGGACAGUGGGGUGGUGGCGUGGGAGGAUCCAGGGACGGCGGCGGAUGUAUCGCAGGGCACGGCGACAUAGAGGUUGAAGCAGGGAGAUGCGGCAACCGCGGUAGAAGCAAGGGGAAGGAAGGUACCUUUGGUGGGG
rnacentral:lncRNA from 1 species